CAGAAAUUACUUAGUCAAUAAAUGGUAAUUUAAGUGAAUUUAAUAACUGCAGUAGGAGGGGAUUGGAUUAACAUGGUAAAACAUAUACCUUUCCGGGGUAAUGUAAAUCUUAUCUGUAGUAAAAUUUAUGCUAGUGAGAUCAACUCAGGUAUUUCUAUCAGUGUGUGGUACAAAUAACAGACAUAAAUUGCUGGAAAUGGUUACUGUUUAGUAGAUGCCAUGCUCCCAAGUUAGCUCCCAUAUGCAAUUGUUAUAACAUAAUUUACAAGAGACUUCUUUUAUAUCUAAGACCUUGCAAGAACAAGCCAUCUUAUUCAUACUAGUUUAAUAAAUGUAUCACUGUAUAUUGCUGUGCAAAUAAUGUCAAUGCCCAGUGCUUGGGUUCUGUGUACUAAGC